rnacentral:rRNA from 2 species
UGGGGAAUAUUGCACAAUGGGCGAAAGCCUGAUGCAGCGACGCCGCGUGAGGGAUGACGGCCUUCGGGUUGUAAACCUCUUUCAGCAGGGACGAAGCGCAAGUGACGGUACCUGCAGAAGAAGCACCGGCUAACUACGUGCCAGCAGCAGCGGUAAUACGUAGGGUGCAAGCGUUGUCCGGAAUUACUGGGCGUAAAGAGUUCGUAGGCGGUUUGUCGCGUCGUUUGUGAAAACCAGCAGCUCAACUGCUGGCUUGCAGGCGAUACGGGCAGACUUGAGUACUGCAGGGGAGACUGGAAUUCCUGGUGUAGCGGUGAAAUGCGCAGAUAUCAGGAGGAACACCGGUGGCGAAGGCGGGUCUCUGGGCAGUAACUGACGCUGAGGAACGAAAGCGUGGGUAGCGAACAGG